rnacentral:lncRNA from 1 species
UAAUCACAAAGUUUAGAGCUUCUUAGAUUCAAGAGUGUGAUUUCUCCUGCUAAAUCUGCAAAKAUGCAGCUGUAAAGCAUUAAUGGAGUACAAAUUUGCACCCAUCAUCAGACCAGGAGUUUCUGUUUCUACUCUGCACUGCGUAAACUGCUAUUUGUUACAUCCAAGUCUGAAGUAACGCUGAGAAGCUUCACAUCUGACUUGACUUGAAAAUGCUUUUAGCUAUUCUGAAAGCAAAAUCUACCAGCCUCCUGAGAUCUGUGUUAGUGUAAACCAAAGGCCRUGGAUGCUGCUGCUGCAAGUGACAGAAACAAAAUAUGUUUCGUUUCUGGUAUGUUUCACUAUAACAACUCCUAAAUUCAGGAGAACUUUGAAGUACUUCAAGAAUUCCUUCCCAUAGUUAUCUCACAACAGAAUCUGAAAAAGAGAAAGACAAAGGAAAUGCUAAGAAUAUUGACAGCAAGAAGGGGAAUGGUGGGAACCUGUGACUCGAGUGAGCAAGGUAUACAGAUCUGCCUAGUUCACCAGACACUGCAUGCAGGCUACCAUCAAGUGGAGUUUGGAGCCAGUCACUGCCACAUGCAAGGUAUGGAUGGACAACAGACACCAACAGAGAGUUUGCACAUUUUACAACCAAAGCUAUUCCAGUUCUCCUGCAACGCAGCCCUGGCUGACCCUGACAAGCCAACGAAGGGAGAGGCAUUAGCAAUGGAUAUAAUCACACAGAACUAUGCAAAUUGCACCCAUACUAUCUAAAAGACUGACAAUGAAGAGACAGCUAGUGCUGAAAGACCAUGUUAAUGAAUAUUUGUACAAUUG